CAAUAGCGUAUAUUAACGUUGUUGCAGUUAAAAAGCUCGUAGUUGGAUUUCUGAAGGGAGCGUCGGCCCGUAUUUACGAGUGCGUGACGUCUCUGUCCAUCCUUGCGGGAAGGCACGGCAUUGAUUUGUUGUGUCGGAUCGCAUCAUUUACUGUGAAAAAAUUAGAGUGUUCAAAGCAGGCUUUCGCUUGAAUACAUUAGCAUGGAAUAAUAAGAUAGGACUUUGGUGCUAUUUUGUUGGUUGAGCCUAAAGUAAUGAUUAAUAGGGAUAGUUGGGGGCACCUGUAUUGCGUUGUCAGAGGUGAAAUUCUUGGAUUUACGCAAGACAAACAGCUGCGAAAGCGUCUGCCAAGGAUGUUUUCAUUAA
rnacentral:rRNA from 1 species